rnacentral:rRNA from 1 species
CCUACGGGAGGCAGCAGUGGGGAAUAUUGCACAAUGGGGGGAACCCUGAUGCAGCGACGCCGCGUGAGUGAAGGAGUGUUUCGGUGUGUAAAGCUCUAUCGGCAGGGAAGAAGAUGGCGGUACCUGAUUAAGAAGCCCCGGCUAACUACGUGCCAGCAGCCGCGGUAAUACGUAGGGGGCAAGCGUUAUCCGGAUUUACUGGGUGUAAAGGGAGCGUAGACGGCAGCACAAGUCUGGAGUGAAAUGCCGGGGCUCAACCCCGGGACUGCUUUUGAAACUGUGCAGCUAGAGUGCAGGAGAGGCAAGCGGAAUUCCUAGUGUAGCGGUGAAAUGCGUAGAUAUUAGGAGGAACACCAGUGGCGAAGGCGGCUUACUGGACUGCAACUGACGUUGAGGCUCGAAAGCGUGGGGAGCAAACAGGAUUAGAUACCCGAGUAGUC